ensembl:lncRNA
GUACUUUGUUAAGAGACAAUACCUGGACUGAUGAUCUAACAGCAUUGACAUAAUUAUAUCUGAAAAGGGGUUGAUAGAAUAAAUGUAUACAUAAUACCUCACAUGCUCACUGUAAAACUAAAGUCUGUUUAGAGCCCUGCUGAUUGUGAUGUGCACCUUUAAGAGGGCAUGGGACAGUUGGAGUGGAUAAAAACAAAGUUUGAGAGAAGUGUCAUGUGAGAUAUGUUGACUGGACAGAAAUGUACUUAAAUUUACCUAUUCUAGCUAUAGGUGCAAAUAAUUGUUAUGGCAUAUUAAAAAACCUGGUACAAAAUAUUGUUUCACAAAUUACAAAUGGGUUACUUUAAUUAAAUAGCAUUUCAGGUUGUAUUUAUGUAAGAUCAUUAUCUAACUGGUUCCAAAUGUAAUUUACCUUGUCAGUACGCCAUGACAAUGUAAUAUUGUUUGCUGGGAAAUGACUACAUGAGCAAAAUAUCUAGUAGGGUUGACUAUAUGUGGAUUGUGCUAGUUGACCAAAUGGAUUUUGCCAGUGCAAAAAUAAGCAUUGCAUAACAAAAUACUGCAAACAUGCCAAUGGUCAGCAAAUGACGAAUAGGCAACCUUAAUUACAUAACGUUGUCAUGACGUACAGGUCGGGACAAUUACGUUGUAGCAACCAAAAUAGGAACUACACUUUUCCGGUUGCUGCAACGUCAGACUGUAACCGGUACGAAAACGGACUGUCUCGCUACGUCGUGACAACGUAAUAUUUUUCCGGGUUAAUUAGUUCAGAUAGCUUGGUCAGUUAUACUGGAUGUUUUCUGGUGUUUGACAUACUAGUACUAUAACUACUUUACACUGACAGGGGGCGAGUUCGCGCUGUUGACGGGAUUCCGGACAUUUUUGAGGCAUGCAAGGGUGAGGCUCGCUGAUUCCAUUAGCCGGUAUUAAAUACAAAAAUCGUGAAUCCUCAUCAUCCACUGCACCAACACAUUGAAAAUAGUGGGUUCUGAAUUGGGUGACAGGAUCUGAAGAUCGCACCGGUGGGACCUUACUGUUGAAUUUUCCACUGCCCAAAUCAGUGUAGGGAGUCAUUCAGAUAACGAUAUCAAGUGCAUAUUUUAGAGGGCAAAAUAUCAAAGUGACUACCUUAUAUGAAAGAUGUAUGCGUAUUUUGUCGACUACAAUUUUUACGUCAUAACAACACUUCCGGUCACGUCUCUAGGGUCAACAAAACCGAACAAUAACUGUGCGCUAGCCCUGUAGAACAACGGUGUAAAUAGAUGGAUAUUUCAGAAAGAUAACAUUGUCGGCUUCUUUUGGCCAU